GCUAAUACCGGAUAACAACAGAUGAUGCCUAUCAACUGUUUAAAAGAAUGGUUCUGCUAUCACUCUUGGAUGGACCUGCGGUGCAUUAGCUAGUUGGUAGGGUAACGGCCUACCAAGGCGAUGAUGCAUAGCCGAGUUGAGAGACUGAUCGGCCACAUUGGGACUGAGACACGGCCCAAACUCCUACGGGAGGCAGCAGGG
rnacentral:rRNA from 1 species